UGAAACUGAUCUUCCCGUGAAGAAGCGGGAAUAUACAUAUAAGACGAGAAGACCCCAUGGAGCUUUAAACCCAACAGCACCUAUUCUUUUUAAAUCCACUUAUUCUUAUAGUAAGUGCUUGCUUGGUUUUAGGUUGGGGUGACCGCGGAGUAAAAAUGAACCUCCACGAAAAAAGGCAUAAAAGCCUUAUCAAAGAAUCACACUUCUAUGAAUUAGUAAACUAAUUUUUGAUGAUCCGAUAUUCGAUCAACGAACCAAGUUACCCUGGGGAUAACAGCGCAAUCCACCUCAAGAGCUCCUAUCGACAAGUGGGUUUACGACCUCGAUGUUGGAUCAGGGUACCCCAGUGGUGCAGCAGCUACUAAAGGUUCGUUUGUUCAACGAUUAAAACCCU
rnacentral:rRNA from 1 species